rnacentral:tRNA from 1 species
GGAGAGGUGCCUGAGUGGCCGAAAGGAACGGUUUGCUAAAUCGUCGUACACCAAAAGUGUACCCAGGGUUCGAAUCCCUGUCUCUCCG